CAGAGCUGGCAUCAGAUGCCUGCGGGCGCGGGGCGAAGCGGAGCCGCCGGCCCCGGACUCAUGGCGGUGCGGGAGGGGCGCGCGUGUGCGCCGGGCAACUCCGAUCCAGAGCGGCUCUCCGAGUCCCGCGCCGAAACCGCAACUAAUCCUUCAGGGCCGGCGGGCAGCGCCGGGCCGCCCGGCGGGCAUCCUCGGGGCGGCGGAGCCCCGCUGAGCCGAUCCCGGAGCCGAGCGGCAGCGCGCGGGCAGCGCUAGCGGGGCGCCAGGACAAAGGAACGCAUGUGCGGCUCCGGCGGUCCCGCAGCUCCGGCUCCGGGCGCAGCUCCGUCCCGCAGGGCCCAACUCCGGGCUGGCGCGGCCCCUCCCGCGGCCGGAUGGGAUUUUGUUUGGUUUUUUUUUUUUUUUUUUCUUCUGCUUGGUCUUUUUUUGUUUGCUUUUUUG
rnacentral:lncRNA from 1 species